CCUCACACAUAUAUCCUUUGGGGUAAGCGCCUGAAGACAGACUUUUACUACAUAAUGUAAAAUAAUGGCUCCUUGUUGGCUUGUGGUGACCUUGCCUAUAUCCAUAGACCACAUAAGCCAAGCUUGAACUGCAGCUAAUCUGAGCCUUGGCCAAACAUCCUGUAUCAUUCUGAAACUUGAGCACAUGGGAGGCUUUUGAGGAGAUGCUUGGGGCCAUUCUCACUCACUUUUCUAUCUGCCAAGGAGGUUGUAAUGAGGCAAUUUCUCAUCUCCUCCCAGUUUCUCAUGAGGUUUGAGUCGUUCUGUUACCUAAUGGGGUCACAGCUGCGGAGCUGUAACAUUGCUAAGCAGUAGCAUAGCAGUAGUUCCCCAGCAACAGAGCAUGCCAUUAUUCGCGUUGCAAUCAUCUGGGCCGUUUUCUUUUAGUGUUGCGCUACCCAAGGGCGUAAACAUAGAGACUGUCUUUUACAAGAGACAUGGAAACUGAAACAGAGAUUAUGCUGCUAUAUUUAGAAGGAAAUAAUAAAAUUACUUAGAUUUUAAUAAUGAUUCCCCGAAGGGUCCUAGUGGUUCAUAAUUCUUUCUUUUUUCUUUUUUUUUUGGAGGAGUGUCACUCUACCUCCCAGGCUGGAGUGCAGUGGCGAGAUUUCGGCUCCUUGCAACUCCGCCUCCCGGGGUUCAAGUGAUGUCGUGCCUCAGCCUCCCGAGUAGCUGGAAUUACAGGCCCCCACCACCACGCCCAGCUAAUUUUUGUAUUUUUAGUAGAGACGAGGUUUCGCCAUGUUGGCCAGGCUGCUCUAGAACUCAGGUGAUCCGCCCGCGUCAGUCUCCCAAAGUGCUGGGAUUACAGGCACCCACCACCACACCCGGCUAAUUUUUGUAUUUUUAGUAGAGAUGAGGUUUCACCAUGUUGGCCAGGCUGGUCUCAAACUCCUGACCUCAGGUGAUCCACCUGCCUCGGCCUCCCAAAGUGCUGGGAUUACAGGCGUGAUUCACCAUGCCCGGCCAGUCCUCUUAACUGUCUUACAUGUUUAUUAC
rnacentral:lncRNA from 1 species